GACCCACUUUAUCCGACAUCUUUAUUUGACCCACUUAACUUGACUAACUUUAUUUGACCCGCUUUGUGUGAUCCACUAAAGUUGACCUACUUUACUCGACCCACUUUUUGUGACCCACUUAACUUGACCCACUUUAUUAAACCAACAAGUCAUGUCCUAGGAGAAGAAGUCUAAUAAUAUUACGUAGUUUCCAAUAGCUUCAGCUUCCUAAGAAACCUAGUGAUCAAUGAAGCUCACUAUACAUUUUUGUUAAUUCCAUCAAAUGGUUUAACUAACAAUGCCAAGACAAUUUCUUUAACUAAUUGUCACUUUUUCGUAAACCAUCAUUUAGUAAAGUAUACCCUGGAGAUGAACAGCUAUCAUCACUUCAAAUCUCAUACAGAAUAACAUUAAUUGAGCAUUAAGUUAGGUCUCAACUGUCUCUAAGAAAUGUCUGACACGGGAUAUCAGGCUGAGAAUCCUCAAAAAGUUAUUAAACGAAACAAUUUUUUAAACAUUUUUUUUUUGUUUGCUGUUGCUUUUCGUCAACACAUAACAUGAACACGAUUUGAGUUUAUAUAUUCCUAAAAUUAUAUUUAUGUUUAUAGAUUUAUAUACAGCCGCACAAAGAAAUCAAAUAAAACGAAUAACUAAAAAUCCCGAACUGCUAAAAUCUAAAUAACAAUUUUGUCACUCGCUUUAUCAUUUAUCAAGUCUUUUAUUAAAUAUAUUUUUUUUUUGUUAAAUAAAGAAACACAUUUGGGGGGGGGGGGGGGGGGAACUUUAAAAAAAAGGUGUCUAACACAAUAGUACAAAACUCAGAUAAGAUUAACAAAACAAAAAAAAAAUUCAAAUUGUAUAUCGACAUUAGUAAUCAACAAUAUCAGCCAUCACCAUAAAGAAAAAAAAUUCAAACAACAAAGAACAAAAUUGUUUCAUAUUUGUCUGUAAAUAAUAUUUUUGUUUGUAAUUAGACACCUGUUUGUUUCAAAUAUUUCUGCUCAUGUCAAUUGAAGUGCAAAAGAAGAUAUAAUUCAAAGACAAUCUAAAUACAGUCUAAAAUAAAAAAAAAUUAAAAUCUUGAAAUUUUUCUUUGAAUGAUCAGCCUUAAUAGUCCAUGUGGUCAGUUCCAUGAUGACCACGAGAUGGGUUUCAACUGGACAGGCCGAACUAGGGCUAUAAACUAGGCGUAUAGAUAACUGUUUUCGUGUGAGUCCUGUAAGAAAUAAAAAAAAAUGUUACUUUUUUUUUUUUCAAAACUUAAAAUUGUAUUCAAGUGAUAAAACAAUCAACAGAGGUACCCCGAUUUUCGUUCGCCCUCGGAAACGUAUACAAAUCUGACAAGUUUGCCACAAGCAGCGCCAUAACAGCAAAGUGUUGAGUUUAAUGAAAUUGAACUUCAGCGGCUUUGUCAUGCAAUGUGGGCACAAAGGCUGGAUAGCAAUGCGUUAGGGCCGGAAUAAGCACAAGAGACUUAAUUUGGACAUCACUGACAGAAUGUAUUAAAGUAGUUAGAACAUCUAAACUGUUCUAUAUCCAUAGCUGCCUAGUCCUCAGCCCACAGCAGCACUUGCGAAACUCAGUCUCUUUAAUUAAAGGGAUAGCCAUCGACACUAAAAUCAAACUGAUGCGCU